ensembl:lncRNA
UCUGAAUUAAAAUGGCACUUUGGUUGGCACAUAUACAGUUUCUGUUUUUCUGUCAACAAAUAUUAAUACAUUCUUAGUUCUCUUGUUUUCAUUUUUAACCCAUGAUUUUGCAUUUUUAUCAGGAUUCAAAGUCAUUUUUAUAACAUAAAGAAAUAUUAAAUAAAUACUAGAAAGCGAAAAUUUCAGAAGUGUGCCUAUGCCGCUGCUAAUCAGUGUAGUUUGCCAUUCAUACGGCUACAGAGAGCAAAACUCAGCAGAGCAGCCAUUCUCCACCAUGAAGUAUGGUAAAAACAAACACCGCUCGCGCAUCACAGAUGACAGCUUACAGUUUUGUGUAAAGAUGAGGUGACUUCAUACAGCCCCGAUUUGCAGACGCUGUGCACAGAGGUUCAUGAGCAGAAGUCCCAUUGUACCACGGCAGACCCAACAAUGUUUGCAUGAACAUGCUUUGAAGCACUACGUUAUGGACCACUUUUCACACAUGGUUGGUGUACCCACACAGCCGGCUGUAGCUUUUCAACUCACAGCCCAACACACAACAAAAAAAAAAAAAAAAAACAGCCGAGAGAGCACAGACUUUAUGCCCGUGGGUCCACCUCCCCUGCAGCGGCACUGCAGACCACGCCCUGCCACACACAUCAAACACGUAAAAUAAAUAUUUAUGCACUUUUGCAUUCACUUUUUGUUUUUUGUUAUUUUUACACAAUGUUCUGAAUGAUUAACAAUGGUCUACAGCCAAUCUUGUGUAUUAUUAUACAAACUUUGGUUGUAAGAUUCAGAUAACUAUUUAAUAAAAGGUAAAUAUUUUAUAUGAGAAUAAGAAAGAAAAGUAUAUCUUUGCGUCCCCCUUUCCCUGUUAAUGCCCUACCUGGCCCCCUGGCAAAAGCUUUGCUAGAUCCGCCCCUGCACAGUUACCAGCUGUCAGCUACACAAAAAAAGGAGCUUGGUGUUAGUUGUCUCUCAGAAACAGUUGAUAACUUUCCUUCAACUCAUUCAUGUCACCUAAAAGGUAAACCUGUUUCUCCAUCACCAGUUCAGCUCUGAUGAUUCAGUAAGGACAUCUCCUGGUUUCGAUCAGCCCUUUUUUACAGCUGUGGCUCCAGCAAACAUCAGCUGAUACUAGAAAUUAAAAUUUAAUGAAUUCUAACAACAGCUGAUCAAGCUUAACCAUGCUGCUGUUGUUUAGUACGGAGCCCCCCAGGGGACAUGGGAAAAAAAAAAUUAGGGAGGAAAAAAAAAAAUUAGGGAGGAAAAAAAGAAAAUUAGGGAGAAAAAAAAAUUAAGACGGACUUUUGCCAGAUCUCCAACCAAUGCGGCAGCUACUUAGUUGUAAUAUUACUCUUUCUGGGUCACAAAAUACACUUUUAAGAUAUUUUGAGGCGUGAAUGUAGUUGUGUAAACGUCAGAUACCUGCUCGGUUUACAAGACAUCACAUAUUUGCAAAAGAGCUCCGACGUUUUUGGAGAUCUGACACCCACUAGCUCGAAGCUAACGGGAGGUCGAGACCUACUACAGCCGGGAGGAACACCGCUUUCCCGGCACAUCGUGCCUCGAC